rnacentral:rRNA from 1 species
GACGAAGGAUGCAAGCGUUAUCCGGAUUCAUUGGGUUUAAAGGGUGCGUAGGCGGACUUGUAAGUCAGUGGUGAAAUCUCUCAGCUUAACUGAGAAACUGCCAUUGAUACUGCAGGUCUAGAGUAUAGAUGACGUUGGCGGAAUAUGACAUGUAGUGGUGAAAUACUUAGAUAUGUCAUAGAACACCGAUUGCGAAGGCAGCUAACGAAACUAUAACUGACGCUGAGGCACGGAAGUGCGGGGAUCAAACAGG